GAUGAACGCUGGCGGCGUGCCUAAUACAUGCAAGUCGAGCGAACAGAUAAGGAGCUUGCUCCUUUGACGUUAGCGGCGGACGGGUGAGUAACACGUGGGUAACCUACCUAUAAGACUGGAAUAACUCCGGGAAACCGGGGCUAAUGCCGGAUAACAUUUAGAACCGCAUGGUUCUAAAGUGAAAGAUGGUUUUGCUAUCACUUAUAGAUGGACCCGCGCCGUAUUAGCUAGUUGGUAAGGUAACGGCUUACCAAGGCAACGAUACGUAGCCGACCUGAGAGGGUGAUCGGCCACACUGGAACUGGGACACGGUCCAGACUCCUACGGGAGGCAGCAGUAGGGAAUCUUCCGCAAUGGGCGAAAGCCUGACGGAGCAACGCCGCGUGAGUGAUGAAGGUCUUCGGAUCGUAAAACUCUGUUAUUAGGGAAGAACAAAUGUGUAAGUAACUGUGCACGUCUUGACGGUACCUAAUCAGAAAGCCACGGCUAACUACGUG
rnacentral:rRNA from 1 species